UACGAAGGGGGCUAGCGUUGCUCGGAAUCACUGGGCGUAAAGGGUGCGUAGGCGGGUCUUUAAGUCAGGGGUGAAAUCCUGGAGCUCAACUCCAGAACUGCCUUUGAUACUGAAGAUCUUGAGUCCGGGAGAGGUGAGUGGAACUGCGAGUGUAGAGGUGAAAUUCGUAGAUAUUCGCAAGAACACCAGUGGCGAAGGCGGCUCACUGGCCCGGUACUG
rnacentral:rRNA from 1 species